rnacentral:snRNA from 2 species
GUUACUUUCGGGGACAUCCAAUAAAAUUGGAAUAAUACGGAUAAAAUUAACAUCAAUAAAAUUGGAAUGAUACGGAUAAAAUUAGCAUGGUCUCUCUGCAAAGAUGAUACGUGCAAAUCGAAAAAUGAUCAAAAAAUAA